AACGCACAUUGCGCUUCCUGGUAUUCCAGGAAGCAUGCCCGUUUCAGAAUCAAUAAAAACCUCACCACACUGGGUGCCUCAGGGCAUUCGGUCAAGGUGGAUUUGGAUUUUUGCGUUAGCAAUCAUCUUAAAACCAUUGUGUGUGCACCAAUCGAUAUGUCUUUUGGUUGUCCAAGUGCAACAGAUUUAUCUAUUUCGCUUUGGCAAUUGACUGAUGCUCUUGAUGCUCAUGCUCAACCAAUGACACGGAAUACAAAUCGGAAUGAUUUGGAUGUCCGAAAACUUGAUCUGAAAUCGGGCAGGAAAACCCGCUGAACUUAA
rnacentral:misc_RNA from 1 species